UACGGGGGGAGCAAGCGUUGUCCGGAUUUAUUGGGCGUAAAGGGCGCGUAGGUGGGUCGGUAAGUGAGCGGUGAAAUCCCGGAGCUUAACUCCGGAAUGGCCGUUCAUACUGCCGAUCUCGAGUGCGAGAAGGGAAGAUGGAAUUCCUGGUGUAGCGGUGGAAUGCGUAGAUAUCAGGAGGAACACCGGUGGCGAAGGCGGUCUUCUGGCUCGCAACUGACACUGAGGCGCGAAAGCGUGGGGAGCAAACAGG
rnacentral:rRNA from 1 species